rnacentral:rRNA from 1 species
CGAUAAGUAGUGAAGUGUGUGAUUCCGGCUGUCAAGAAAAGCCGCUAUUGUGUGAUACGUGCCCGUACCGUAAACCGACACAGGUAGAUGAGGAGAGAAUCCUAAGGCCGGCGGGAGAAGCAUUGUUAAGGAACUCGGCAAAAUGACCCUGUAACUUCGGGAGAAAGGGUGCCUGGGAAACCAGGCCGCAGAGAAUAGGCUCAAGCAACUGUUUAGCAAAAACACAGGUCUAUGCAAAACCGUAAGGUGAGGUAUAUGGGCUGACGCCUGCCCGGUGGAAGGUUAAGAGGAGGGGUUAGCGCAAGCGAAGCUCUGAAUUGAAGCCCCAGUAAACGGCGGCCGUAACAAUAACGGUCCUAAGGUAGCGAAAUUCCUUGUCGGGUAAGUUCCGACCCGCACGAAAGGCGUAAUGAUUUGAGCGCUGUCUCGACAAUGCACCCGGUGAAAUUGAAAUACCAGUGAAGAUGCUGGUUACCCGCGCCAGGACGGAAAGACCCCAUGGAGCUUUACUCCAGCUUGAUACUGGGAUUCGGUACUGCAUGUACAGGAUAGGUGGGGGACUGAGAAACUAGGACGCCAGUCUUAGAUGAGUCGCUGUUGGGAUACCACCCCUGCGGUAUUGGAUUUCUAACCUGCAGCCGUUAGCCGGCUGGGGGACAAUGUCAGGCGGGGAGUUUGACUGGGGCGGUCGCCUCCGAAAGGGUAUCGGAGGCGCUCAAAGGUUCCCUCAUAAUGGUUGGAAACCAUUAGAAGAGUGCAAAGGCAUAAGGGAGCUUGACUGCGACACCGACGGGUGGAGCAGGUAGGAAACUAGGACUUAGUGAUCCGGUGGUAUGAAAGUGGGAUUGCCAUCGCUCAACGGAUAAAAGCUACCCUGGGAUAACAGGCUUAUCACUCCCAAGAGUUCACAUCGACGGAGUGGUUUGGCACCUCGAUGUCGGCUCAUCGCAUCCUGGGGCUGUAGCAGGUCCCAAGGGUUGGGCUGUUCGCCCAUUAAAGCGGUACGCGAGCUGGGUUCAGAACGUCGUGAGACAGUUCGGUCCCUAUCCGGCGUGGGCGUAGGAUAUUUGAGAGGAGCUGUCCUUAGUACGGGAGGACCGGGAUGGACGGGCCGCUGGUGUACCUGUUGGAGUGCCAACUCCAUGGCAGGGUAGCCAAGCCCGGACGGGAUAAACGCUGAAGGCAUCUAAGCGUGAAGCCCCCCUCAAGAUGAGAUAUCCCAUACGCAGGUAGUAAGACCCCUUGAAGACGACAAGGUAGAUAGGUCAGAGGUGGAAGUGUGGUGACACAUGGAGCUGACUGAUACUAAUCGGUCGAGGGCUUGACC